GCGAUAAAUCAUUCAAGUUUCUGCCCUCUCAGCUUUGGAUGGUAGUGUAUUGGACUACCAUGGCAGUCACGAGUAACGGAGAAUUAGGGCUCGAUUCCGGAGAGGGAGCCUGAGAAACGGCUACCACAUCUACGGAAGGCAGCAGGAGCGAAAAUUGCCCAAUCCUGACACGGGGAGGCAGUGACGAGAAAUAACAACUCUUGGUUAUUCUAAGAAGUGUAAUGAGGAUAAUUUAAAACCCUUACCGAAAGCAAUUGGAGGGCAAGUCUGGUGCCAGCAGCCGCGGUAAUUCCAGCUCCAAUAGCGUAUAUUAAAGUUGUUGCAGUUAAAAAGCUCGUAGUUGAAGUUCUGGCUGCUUGACCCUCGAGCUCUGUAGCCGAGGGCUCAGCAGUCAUCCGCUUGCAAAUAUAUGUUCGCCUUUAACCGGGCGGCUAUAUGAGUAAGCAUUUUACCUUGAGAAAAACAGAGUGUCCCAGGCAGGUUUGUCCGGAAUGCAUUAGCAUGGAAUAAUAGAAUAUGACUGAAGUCGAUUUAUUGGUUUGAGGCUUUAGUAAUGAUUAAUAGGAACAGUCGGGGGCAUUGGUACUUGUCAGUCAGAGGUGAAAUUCUAGGAUUUGACAAAGACUAACAAAUGCGAAAGCAUUUGCCAAGGAUGUUUUCAUUAAUCAAGAACGAAAGUUAGGGGAUCAAAGACGAUCAGAUACCGUCCUAGUCUUAACUAUAAACUAUACCGACUCGGAUUCAGAUGAAUCAUAAAGUUCAUUUGGGACCGUAGGAGAAAUCAAAGUUUUUGGGUUCUGGGGGAAGUAUGCUCGCAAGGCUGAAACUUAAAGGAAUUGACGGUUUUGCACCACCAUGGAGUGGAGUCUGCGGCUUAAUUUGACUCAACACUGGGAAACUCAUCAGGGCAAGAAGAUUAUAGGAUUGACAGGUUGAGAGUUCUUUCUUGAUUGGUCUUGUGGUGGUGCAUGGCCGUUCUUAGUUGGUGGAGUGAUUUGUCUGGUUAAUUCCGUUAACGAACGAGACCUUAACCUGCUAACUAGUACACCGAUGACAAAUCGGUGAUACUUCUUAGAGGGACUAUGUGAUGUAAUCACAUGGAAGUUUGAGGCAAUAACAGGUCUGUGAUGCCCUUAGAUGUCCUGAGCUGCACGCGUACUACAAUGGUGCUUUCAUCGAGCUUUUCCUGAUCCGAAAGGAUUUGGGUAAUCUUUUUAGUGAGCACCGUGCUUGGGAUAGAUCUUUGUAAUUAUGGAUCUUGAACUAGGAAUUCCUAGUAAGCACGUGUCAUCAGCACGU
rnacentral:rRNA from 1 species